rnacentral:lncRNA from 1 species
UUCAAACUAGCAUCAUAUAUUUUUACAUGUAGUUCCAUGGGGCUGUUUCUGUGUUAGUGCUAAGAUGGCCCCAAGUGUCUUUGAUUGUUUUUGAGUGUCUACCCUGGCCCAGGAGCUUAAGGCUCAUGUGAUCCUGCAUGUGUUGCAGCUAGAUGGUACUAACCUUGCCUAUUAAUAAUGUGAUGGACUAGCAAACAUCAGCUCAAUAUUUCUGCAUAACUGCAAAAUCUUUUCAAAACACUACUGGUGCAGCUUCCUGCAAAGUAAUAAUAAAGUACUAAAGCAACAAAGAUUGUCUUCUGAUAAAUCUAAAUAGACAAGAACUUGGCACCUGAAACAGAUGGCUUUUGCCUCCUUCCCCUAUGCCCUUGAGCAGAAGAGGUGCAUUGGUCUGCUAAUCUUUAUUCAAAAGGAAGAAUUCUUUGACAGUCAUUCAUUCAGACACAUUUUUGAAAAUGACCUGCAACUUCUGGAAUUAAAUUUAUCAAAAUAGUUGGAAAACUAUUUGACAGCAACAAGAAGAGUGCUUGGCACGUUCUGUUGUGGAUAAAUGAUGGAUAUACAAAUAAUAAGAUUUUCUUUAGGGAUCCCUGGGUGGCGCAGCGGUU